GAUAAUUAAAACAUUAUAAUAAAAAGAAUUAUAGUUAAAAUACUCCAAACAACCACCAGCUCCAGCCACCGUUACACCACCACCAGUCCCCAAAAGCCACCAAUUAAACCAUAAAAAACACUAUGCACCGCCUAAGCACCCAUCUAAAUGAUCCAUAACCAAAACGACUAGUUGGUCUUAACAUAUUCGUUUUCUUGAAUUUCCAAGAAAGGGUAUAUUCUUUCCUA
rnacentral:lncRNA from 1 species